rnacentral:rRNA from 1 species
UACGUAGGGGGGCAAGCGUUGUCCGGAUUUACUGGGCGUAAAGAGCGUGUAGGCGGCCAAACAGGUCCGUUGUGAAAACUGGAGGCUCAACCUCCAGACGUCGACGGAAACCGUGUGGCUAGAGUCCGGAAGAGGAGAGUGGAAUUCCUGGUGUAGCGGUGAAAUGCGUAGAUAUCAGGAGGAACACCGGUGGCGAAGGCGGCGACCUGGGCAGAUACUGACACUGAGGUGCGAAAGCGUGGGGAGCAAACAGG